GCAACGGUGGUGUACUGGUUAACAUGCGGAUUUCCCAUGCUCUCUUGAAGUUGUCCGCGUACCGGGUUCGAUUCCCGGCCGCUGCA